ACGUAGGGUGCGAGCGUUAAUCGGAAUUACUGGGCGUAAAGCGUGCGCAGGCGGCUUCGCAAGUCAGACGUGAAAUCCCCGGGCUUAACCUGGGAAUGGCGUUUGAAACUACGGAGCUGGAGUGUGGCAGAGGGGGGUAGAAUUCCACGUGUAGCGGUGAAAUGCGUAGAUAUGUGGAGGAAUACCGAUGGCGAAGGCAGCCCCCUGGGCCAACACUGACGCUCAUGCACGAAAGCGUGGGGAGCAAACAGG
rnacentral:rRNA from 1 species